GAUGAACGCUGGCGGCGUGCCUAAUACAUGCAAGUCGAGCGAACAGACGAGGAGCUUGCUCCUCUGACGUUAGCGGCGGACGGGUGAGUAACACGUGGAUAACCUACCUAUAAGACUGGGAUAACUUCGGGAAACCGGAGCUAAUACCGGAUAAUAUAUUGAACCGCAUGGUUCAAUAGUGAAAGACGGUUUUGCUGUCACUUAUAGAUGGAUCCGCGCCGCAUUAGCUAGUUGGUAAGGUAACGGCUUACCAAGGCAACGAUGCGUAGCCGACCUGAGAGGGUGAUCGGCCACACUGGAACUGAGACACGGUCCAGACUCCUACGGGAGGCAGCAGUAGGGAAUCUUCCGCAAUGGGCGAAAGCCUGACGGAGCAACGCCGCGUGAGUGAUGAAGGUCUUCGGAUCGUAAAACUCUGUUAUUAGGGAAGAACAAAUGUGUAAGUAACUAUGCACGCCUUGACGGUACCCAAUCAGAAAGCCACGGCUAACUACGUG
rnacentral:rRNA from 1 species